rnacentral:lncRNA from 1 species
GGAAGGGGAGGCCCGGAUCUGAGGGCCCCGGGAGACAGCUCUGAGGAUUUGGAGGUCCAGGGGAAGGGGAGGCUGGGACCUGUGGGCCGCGGGAGCCGGGUCUGAGGGUUUGGAGGCCCAGGGGAAGGGGAGGCCCAGAUCUGAGGGGCCGGGGGCCAAACCUGUGGGUUUUGAGGCCCAGAUCUGAGGGCCCGGGGGCCAAACCUGUGGGUUUGGAGGCCCAGGGGAAGUGGAGGCCGGGACCUGUGGGCCCAGGGAGCCAGCUCUGAGGGUUUGGAGGCCCAGGGGAAAGGGAGGCUGGGACCUGUGGGCCCCGGGAGCUAGCUCUGAGGGUUUGGAGGCCCAGGGGAAGGGGAGGCCCGGCUCUGAGGGCCCGGAGGCCAAUACUGUGGGUUUGCAGGCCAAGGGGAAGGGGAGGCUGGGACCUGUGGGCCCCGGGAGCCGGCUCUGAGGGUUUGGAGGCCAAGGGGAAGGGGAGGCCCGGAUCUGAGGGCCCGGGGGCCAAACCUGUGGGUUUGGAGGCCCAGGGGAAGGGGAGGCCCAGAUCUGAGGGGCCGGGGGCCAAACCUGUGGGUUUGGAGGCCCAGAUCUGAGGCCGCAGGGGCCAAACCUGUGGGUUUGGAGGUCCAGAUCUCAGGGCCCGGGGGCCAAACCUGUGGGUUUGGAGGCCCAGGGGAAGGGGAGGCCGGGACGUGUGGGCGUCGGGAGCUGGCUCUGAGGGUUUGGAGGCCCAGGGGAGGGGAGGCCCAGAUCUGAGGGGCCGGGGGCCAAUCAUGGGGGUUUGGAGGCCAAGGGGAAGGGGAGGUCAGGACCUGUGGGCCCCGGGAGCCGGCUCUGAGGGUUUGGAGGCCCAGGAGAAGGGGAGGCCGGGACCUGUGGGCCCCGGGAGCCGGCUCUGAGGGUUUGGAGGCCCAGGAGAAGGGGAGGCCCACAUCUGAGGGGCCGGGGGCCAAACCUGUGGGUUUGGAGGCCCAGAUCUGAGGGCCCGGGGGCCAAAACUGUGGGUUUGGAGGCCCAGGGGAAGAGGAGGCCGGGACCUGUGGGCCCAGGGAGCCAGCUGUGAGGGUUUGGAGGCCCAGGGGAAAGGGAGGCUGGGACCUGUGGGCCCCGGGAUCUAGCUCUGAGGGUUUGGAGGCCCAGGGGAAGGGGAGGCCCGGCUCUGAGGGCCCGGAGGCCAAUACUGUGGGUUUGGAGGCCAAGGGGAAGGGGAGGUCGGGACCUGUGGGCCCCGGGAGCCGGCUCUGAGGGUUUGGAGGCCCAGGGGAAGGGGAGGCUGGGACCUGUGGGCCCCGGGAGCCGGCUCUGAGGGUUUGGAGGCCCAGGGGAAGGGGAGGCUGGGACCUGUGGGCCCCGGGAGCUGGCUCUGAGGGUUUGGAGUCCCAGGGGAAGGGGAGGCCCGGAUCUGAGGGCCCCGGGGGCUAAGCCUGUGGGUUUGGAGGCCCAGGGGAAGGGGAGGCCCAUAUCUGAGGGCCCGGGGGCCAAACCUGAG